UACAGAGGUGGCAAGCGUUGUUCGGAAUUACUGGGCGUAAAGCGCGCGUAGGCGGUCCGUUAAGUGGGAUGUGAAAUCCCCGGGCUUAACCUGGGAAUUGCAUUUCAAACUGGCGGACUAGAGUGCGGUAGAGGGAGGUAGAAUUUCCUGUGUAGCGGUGAAAUGCGUAGAUAUAGGAAGGAAUACCAGUGGCGAAGGCGGCCUCCUGGAUCGACACUGACGCUGAGGCGCGAAAGCGUGGGGAGCAAACAGG
rnacentral:rRNA from 1 species